UGAACGAGAUACCGUUGGAAGUACUUUCUACGGAUACGUCCGAUGAUUCUGCGAACUUUCACUAUGGAGAAGAUCCACCUGAGAAAAUUGAAAGUCAUAUCGCGAAUGAUCACGAUUUUCUCACGGCGACUCUCGAAGCCAUAUACUCGUCGUUUACGUUGUCCGAUUUAGGAUAAGAACAAUCUAUACGCAGUUAUCAACUUCCGACUUUCCCUGUCAUUUUAAUCAAGCUUUAUGGACGUAGUUCUUAAAAAUGUAGAAACUAAUUUAAUAAUUUAUUUAAUGCCGACUGUUGGUAGAUAAAACAAACAUGUUAACCGUGAAACAAUAUAAUUUGCCAUAUCGUGAUCAGCCACUAGACGUACUCUACUUUCAAUCGCUACCGACUACACAUCCGUGAUAAUUGCCACAGCAGGAAGGAAAAUUACGCAAGCCUGAGCCCGACCACGUAGGCGACUUCUCCGAUAUACAAGAAGAAUGUAAAUCACUGCCACCGAUUAAACGAUUUAUUCUACUCGGCUCUCCUAAUUGGAUCGAUGCGUUAUAACGUCAGCCAAUUAAAAGCAAAUGGAGGAUUUUCUCUCACGCGGCUCCAAAGACGUCCCUCUGCUCGGCAUCAGCUUGGUUCUGGAGUAUCCACGAUCGGCGCUACUAUGCGCCUCUAAAGUGGACCGGUUUGUGCAGCAGUAGCGACGACGGCGGUAUCAAUUCACGAGAAAAAGUGCUGAGGGGGGAAAAUUCACAGUGGCGAUGACGCCGGCGCCGCCGUGAGGAAGGGCGAGGCCCAUCUCGGAAAAGAGAGCUACGACUGCACGCGGCGUGGUUCUCUUUCGCCAUCUCGUCUUAUCUACCUGUCAAGGCCGAAUUCCACGUCUCGUCGAAAAUGCGACAAGCCGACGGCUGUGACAUGUCGCGUAAGAUAGAACGUGUACGUGUGACGCGUACAACGUGUAUAGAAGAGGAGUGCGUGCUCGCGAAGAGGAGAGAUAAGGUGUAACCAAUGAUGUCGAUGGAGAAAAAAAAAA